CUGGAUGACAGCGAUUUGUAUUCGGCCAUGGAUCACGGUGCAGCCUGUCACUCCGCCGGCCCAUGCUCCCUGCAGCAUGCCACGCGUGCCUCCGCUUACCACUCACUGCACCGGGGUAUGUGUGACACAGGGCACGGAUCAGCACCUUCCUCAGCAUGCCAUGCACUCAUAUACCAGUAACGCUAGGGCAGUAAGAGAGUAAAAGGAUCAGUCAGCAGCGCCACCCGAGACAUGAAGACGUUAGCAGGCGGGCAGUGGCAGCCUGCGGGUGAGACUAACAGAAUACAGCACUACGGAACCCAGGCUCUAUUGCAACACCACUGCAAAUGUCCCUAUUUUACAGGACGUCAAUGAACAUCACACAGCGCUCCACUGGGACAACCAAAUAAAUGUCCAACAAUGUGGUUAAUGAAAUCCCCUCCGUUUACUACCAUCUAAAUCACAGAAGACCACCAGAGAAAAAAAAUAUUUUGAAAAGUUAAAUACAGAAAAUUCGUCAACACAAAUACAAAAGUUUUUUUCAUCUUCCAUUUU